rnacentral:misc_RNA from 1 species
GUGCUAUACAUUUUAGUUCUGAGAGCAUCCCCAAUGGCAUUGGUUUUGGAGGACGAGCACACCACUUCGGCUUGUUCAUCUCAGCUAACUUUGACCUGGGGCAUACUUUCACCUGCACGACCUUUGGCAGUCCUAGCUUGUCAAAGACCCACCAAAUCUAUCCAGAAGUGAUAGAAUGCUGGGGAGUUGCGAUAAAAAGAGCUCAAGAUAAUCAGGAUAGACUUCAAGGUACCGUGUUAGAAAGAUUUAAAGAGGAUCGCCAUAUGCUUAACAUGGUUGGACUUGCAAAUUCAAGUGAGUGAUGUGCCCUCUGUACUUUCUUCUUGUGCUGAAUUAGCACAGUUUCUAGAGUUUAUUGUCUUGCGUGUAGUUUAAUAAUGUGUUGUGUUACUACAAUAUAAGUGAGUGCAAAAUCACUAGAUGCUCAACCCCGUGUAUGCGUCGAUAGCAUCUAGAGUGUAAUUUAAGGUUUUGCAAUCAUUACUAUCCCUGGAGUCUUGGCAAAUUUCUUCAUGCCAUUCUCCUAAUCAUUGUUA